rnacentral:rRNA from 1 species
UUUGAUCCUGGCUCAGGAUGAACGCUAGCGGCAGGCUUAACACAUGCAAGUCGAGGGGUAUAGUUCUUCGGAACUAGAGACCGGCGCACGGGUGCGUAACGCGUAUGCAAUCUACCUUUUACAGAGGGAUAGCCCAGAGAAAUUUGGAUUAAUACCUCAUAGUAUUAUGAAAUGGCAUCAUUUUAUAAUUAAAGUCACAACGGUAAAAGAUGAGCAUGCGUCCCAUUAGCUAGUUGGUAAGGUAACGGCUUACCAAGGCUACGAUGGGUAGGGGUCCUGAGAGGGAGAUCCCCCACACUGGUACUGAGACACGGACCAGACUCCUACGGGAGGCAGCAGUGAGGAAUAUUGGACAAUGGGCGCAAGCCUGAUCCAGCCAUGCCGCGUGCAGGAUGACGGUCCUAUGGAUUGUAAACUGCUUUUAUACAGGAAGAAACACUGGUUCGUGAACCAGCUUGACGGUACUGUAAGAAUAA